CCAUGGGAUAACUACCCAACACCCUCAAAAAACUGGUGAACUCUUGAACCUCAGCCAUGGCAUUCUGAGCCCUAACAUCCGCCAUUGAAGCUUCAAAAUCAACAUAAAACAUAUACUCAAAAUGCUUAGCCGUCCCAACAUUCACAUCAUCCACAACUCGAACCGGCCGGUUCAGGUUAGGCCUACUCUCAAUCUUCAACAAUCUAAUAUUCCUAAACUCAAACGCCGAUAAAACCUUAUACAACACCGUCGUUCCUCUAUCCUGAGCAAACACAAUACUCGUCUUAUACGGCCGGUCCGUUCUCGCCACCACCGGUUCACGUGCGAGCAUCAUGAACCGUGUUACGCAACUCGAAUCGUCCUGUAUCGACUCAGCGAGUAUGUUUAAAUUGUAGAUCUCGGCAGCGCGUGGUGACGCAAUCGCCGCCGUGUCACGGAGGUUAUUCGCCGCCACGUGUUCCGCAGCUCCAGCGGUAUCAGCCACCGCCUCACGAACGACGUGGUUAAAUCCGAAUCCGAGUUUGUUCAGAGUUAACUCGCACUGAGCGAGAGCUUGUGGAUGACUAAUCACGCGCUUGAUGUGCUCCGUACGGACGCCUGGUAAGGCCACAAGGCAGUGGCGGAACGAGAUCUGGAUCUCGCCGACGAUGUGGAGUCGGUGGCGGAGGAGGAGGUCGUAGUUCCGGUGAACGCUGCCACCGAGAGAGUUUUCCACCGGUAAAACUGCUCGAUCGGCGAUCCAAAGCUCUACGGAUUGAAAUGCGAGUUCUGAAUUGUUACACGGAAUAGGUUUGCACUCCGGAUAAGCUUUUCCGGCGGCGGUUUCACUGUACGCGCCGGGAAGACCUUGAUAGGCUACACGUAACCUUGAACUGUGGUUUGCAGCCGGUGAAGUGUUGGUGAGUGGUUUUGGAAGCUUGUUCACCGAUAUCAGAUUCAGAUCUAGCAUGUUGCGGUUAUUAACAACGGUGAUAAUAUCAUUAUUAUUGUUAUUGUGAUUGUUAUUAUCUGUACCGGUUGUGUUCUCGGUGUUCUGCUGCUGUAACACCACCUUACCGACUGACGGAACCGUUGUAGAGACGGUUGGAUUAGAGUGGUAACGGCGUGCGGUUGAUUGGACGGUGAAAGUGAGGCGGUGAGGGUCGGGUGACGGUGACGGCGUUUGCAUUAGUGGCUUGAAAGUAAUUUUGGGAUACGGCGAUAAAGUUUGCAUGUUUUCUGGUUAUAUGAAAUAUCGGAGGUGAAGCUUGGUGAAGGGGUAAUCGCCAAGCUGAGAAAUGUGAAGGAGAAUUGGGUUUUUAUAUUGGGAUGAAGGAAAAGAGUAGAGAAGACUUGAAUGGGUCAAGCUCACACCUACUACUCUAAGGUAUGACAUUGUUGAAAAAAUUAAUAAAAUAGAUUUGUUUUGUUUGUUGGAUAUGGAAAAAAGUUUACAUUUAGGAAACUUAGAGUGCAAGGAAUAAUUUUGGGAUACGGCGAUAAAGUUUGCAUGUUUUCUGGUUAUAUGAAAUAUCGGAGGUGAAGCUUGGUGAAGGGGUAAUCGCCAAGCUGAGAAAUGUGAAGGAGAAUUGGGUUUUUAUAUUGGGAUGAAGGAAAAGAGUAGAGAAGACUUGAAUGGGUCAAGCUCACACCUACUACUCUAAGGUAUGACAUUGUUGAAAAAAUUAAUAAAAUAGAUUUGUUUUGUUUGUUGGAUAUGGAAAAAAGUUUACAUUUAGGAAACUUAGAGUGCAAGGAAGUAAUUAAUUAAUUAAUUUGAGCAGAUAAGUAUAGAAGUUAUUUUAUUGAAUUUAUUUGAUUUUUAAAUUUUGGAGGCAUAGUUAGUUUUAAAUUAGCAUUGUUCUAACUGAAUGUCCAAGGUGUGUAACCCAUAAAUAUAUAUAGCAUAGCAUAUAAGGCUGUCCAAAAAGCUAGGGCUUGGAGCUUGUUCAGAUUUAGUUUGGAAAAAGCUUGCUUGAUGUGGCUCGAUUUGAAAGUGACCCGUUUGAGCAAUUGAAGAUGUGAGACAAAGAAACAAUAUUGAAGAAUUCACUUGCAAGGUAUCCGAGUUAGUUAGCAAAUUUAAUGCGCCAUGAUGCGUGUUAGUGUAUAUAUGUUUUUAGAUAUAUAUUUAAGCCCUUUUUACACUUUUAGCCAAGUUUUAAAUUUAUAAAACACGAUAUUUACUAACACUAAGCACACAUAUGGGCAAGUGCACCCAUCGUGGACGUAGUAUAGUGUUGGUAAGAUACCGAGGUCGUCCAAGGACACAAGAGCUUUUAAUACCGGUUUAUCCUCAACGUCUAAUCAAAUCAAAAAGUUAGAGAAAUGUUUUAAACUAAGAAAAAUAAAAACUAACUA
rnacentral:lncRNA from 1 species